rnacentral:misc_RNA from 1 species
UUUUUUUUUUUUUUUUUGAGGUGUCAAUUGUAAUUUGUGAUAGAAUUUAUAAUUAUCUAUUGCAUCUAUGUAGUUUAGUGGCUUGCUAAGACUUUAUGUAACUGUUUUAGAUUUAUUUUACUAUUGUUAUGUGUUCAUGCAGAUAGUUAAACACUUUAGGGUGACUUUAGCUUGGUUUUAGUUGAAAGCAUUUGGAAAUUGGGAACUUUAACUUGUGGAGUAUGUGAAUUAAAGUAUGUUGUUUUCUUUUAUUUUUUUAAAUUUUUUUGGGAAGUGAUAUAAAUGAACUUCAUAAAGUUAGUCAUUAUUUUAGUGAGCUUGGAUCUAUUUGCCAUUUGCAUGUGGUGCAUAAAGUUUCAAUAUUGAAAAGGAAAAGAAUUAACUUUUUAUUGUGUCUUGUUCACUUUUGUUUGGGGUUUUCAGUUUGUGUAUUUAAGUUGCAUGUGCUGGAUUUUCCAUGGAAACAGAGGU